UCCGGUUUGGCACCGGCAGUCUCCCAUGAGUCCCCGACAUUACUCGCUGGCAACAUGGAACAGGGGUUGCGCUCGUUGCGCCACUUAAGGCAACACCUCACGGCACGAGCUGACGACAGCCGUGCAGCACCUGUGCGGGCUCCCGAAGGAGCACCGUGUUUCCACGGUUUCACCCCGCAUGUCAAGCCCUGGUAAGGUGGGGAUGACGUUCGUCUGAC
rnacentral:misc_RNA from 1 species